rnacentral:lncRNA from 1 species
AUUUACUUAUUUGAUAUCUAAGUACAUCAUAUUGUAUAAAUUUUUGUGAAAAAAUGGUUCAUGUGAAGAACAAUAAACUAUCUCAGAAGAGAUUGAAGUGAAUCAAAUGCAUUGGCCACAAUGAAUUAAUUAAUUUUCAUAAGGUAUGCAUGUAUUAUUUCUCGCAACAAUUAACAUAUAAGAGUGAUGUGCAUAGCUUUGGUGUUAUUCU